AACAAGACUCUCAGUUAACAUUGUACCAGCAAAAUUAGCAGCACACAUGGGAGGAGGAGCUUGAUCACUGGAAUCCCCUAACUUGGUCUGUUGCAACAGAUUCAUCAAUUGAUCAUAGUGAUGUCUGCUCAACCCUGGUAUCACUGAACUGUGACCAUCUAUGUGGCCGGCAUAAGGAUCCCCAAGAGGAACAGACAAAUUAGGAUUCACAUGAUUAACAGACACACAUUCAACACUAGUGGAGAUAUGAGCAGCUGCAGAUUUCCUUCCCUUGUUGUAAUUUAUGCUUUGAGUGAACCCAUGUAUCUUGUAGCACUUAUCAAUUAAGUGCCCAGAUUUCUUGCAGUAUCUGCAAAAUAGGGGCCCUCUGCUUUGCUCAAAAUUAAUUCUGGGUCUUAAAAUAGGAGGUCGAGGCACUGUGGCCUGAUUAAACCCAACUGAGUGCUUGUUUGUAUGAGCAUUAAAAGACAUAGAAUCUGGACUGAUAUGAGAAAUAGAUUGAACUUGUCUUUGUUUCUCAUCAUUAAGCACUAUGUUCUUCCCUUGUUGUAAUUUAUCCUUUGAGGGAACCCAUGUAUCUUGUAGCGCUUAUCAAUUAAGUACCCAGACUUCUUGCAGUAUCUGCAAAAUAGGGGCCCUCUGCUUUGCUCAAAAUUAAUUCUGGGUCUUAAAAUAGGAGGUCGAGGCACUGUGGCCUGAUUAAACCCAACUGAGUGCUUGUUUGUAUGAGCAUUAAAAGACAUAGAAUCUGGACUGAUAUGAGAAAUAGAUUGAACUUGUCUUUGUUUCUCAUCAUUAAGCACUAUGUUGUAAACACUGUCAAGGGAAGGAAAUGGCUGCAUCAUUUGCUCAAAAUUAAUUCUGGGUCUUAAAAUAGGAGGUCGAGGCACUGCGGCCUGAUUAAACCCAACUGAGUUCUUGUUUGUAUGAGCAUUAAAAGACAUAGAAUAUGGACUGAUAUGAGAAAUAGAUUGAACUUGUCUUUGUUGCUCAUCAUUAAGCACUAUGUUGUAAGCACUGUCAAGGGAAGGAAAUGGCUGCAUCAUCAACAAAUUACUCCUAACCCCCAUAUAUACUUCAUUUAACCCCAUAAGGAACUGAAAAACCUUGUUUUCAUCAUCUUCCUCAAUUAUUCCAGUUUUAACAGCACACACACAUCUCUGCCCAUGAUUUGUGCACAUUGUGCCCAAUUCAUCCCAUAAGGCUACAUCUAAGAAGCCUUGAGAUGUGUGAGAAAGUUCCCUUUUUAAUUCAAAGAUUUUGGUCUUGUUAGGGGUACCAUAUCUUUUCUCAAUUUGGGACCAUAUACUCUGUGCAGUAUCGGAAUACUGCAAAAUAUUGGUCUUGUUAGGGGUACCAUAUCUUUUCUCAAUCUGGGAGCAUAUGCUCUGUGCAGUAUCGGAGUACUGCACACUAUCAACAAUUUGAGGAGACAAGGAGGAGGUCAACCAGGAAAUGACCAUGUUAUUACACCUAUUCCAUAGUCUCUGUUAAGCCACAUUAUUGGUAGGACGGGGACAUGAACCGUCAAUAAAUCCGAUUUUAUUUUUAGCAUAUAAAGCAACAAUCAUCUUACGCCUCCAGCACCCAUAACCACUACCCGAGAAGGGAGUGGGAACAAGAGAUACCCCAGGAACAUCUGAGGAAUAUACAAAAAGGGGACUGGAAGAGUCUACAGAAGAGGAGGCA
rnacentral:lncRNA from 1 species